UGGCUGGACACGAUACUGCAUGAAGUGGGAAGCUGAAGGUAUUUUCACAGAGAGAGACAAACUGUUCCUCAACACUUCAUACCACAUAUGUGGCCUCUGUAAGAACAGACAUCUAGACAUAAGUAUAAUUUGGGUGUUUGGUAUAUUUAAAAGAAAAACCCCAAAACACAACAAACUGCAAUAUGGGAGGGCUGGUCUCAUUUUUAGCUGUUAAGAUACGGAACUUGCAGUUGUCUGUCAGUUACUGGAUAUAUAAUCUGGUAUACUACUAAAACUCACAAGAUGAGCUCAUGAAAUCACUAUUUGCUUGCUUGUAAGGGAAUUAUGCCUGAAAUCUGCAGUGAUGUAACCAGGUCAACCCCACAGGAGGUUUGUUCUGAUGCCAGGUGGAGCCAUGUACCACUUGUCCUUAUUACGGUAAUUUGUUUCCAUUACUUUAAGAUUCAGCUACGGUAAGAUACAGAUUUUUCAACAUGUAGGUUAGAGUGAAAUCAGUAAAGAACACUUCCAAGUAUUAAGUCUGAUGCUUGACAGUUUGCUUUCAAAGCUAGGCAAGCUCAAUGCUGUCAAUUCCUUCUAAGAUCAUCUCUGUGCCCGAGUUCAGCUGUGAAAUAAAAUUACGAGGUUAACAUACUGCUGCUGGUGAUGGAUAACAGACAAGGUUGUCUUAAAAUAAUCCAUUUAAUUAACUGCUUCUGAAAUAACUGGCCUGCAUAUUAACGAUGUCCCUCUUAUUAAUUAGGCAGUACUAAAAUACUGUGUUGAAUAGUCUAUUGUAAGGGAGAAGAGAAUUCACUUGUUAUUUCAGGAAGGUUUAUUUCUGUUUCCCUCUCAGCCUGAAACAGUCCUUGCCAGGCUUGAAUAGGAACAGGAGGAUACUGCUGUUUCCGUGUUGAGGUUUGCCACUCUCAACUGGCCCUAGACGCUUUUCAGUUGUAAUUAUGGAGAUAGGAUGAAUGCUAAGUGAUAGAAUGGGACCACUUAACUGUGAUAGGUUCCUGAGGCAGCCAGCACUGAUUGAGGGAAGUCGUGUUAAGUUGCAGUGGGACAGUUACACAAGGACAGAGUGGCCCCAGCACAUACAGCUAAGAGUGUUGAGAAAAUAUGUUUGAGAGCAUGAUGUUGAGAGUGUUCUCAAUAUUUUGGCACAUAUUGAAUUUGGCACCUCCUUCAUUCUCACACUCUGCCUUUUAUUUCAGGUUUAGGAAUGCACAGAAGAAAACCCUAACUGCUCAUCACAAAAGCCAAAUGACUGAAGACAAUGACUCAACUUCCACAACAAAAAGGACUUACACUUGCCCUUUACUAGCGUAGAUCAGCUUUUUGCUAGAGGAGAAAAACAUGCACUGCAUAUAUAGCAUUGCUGUUCUUAUUACAGCUUGAUAACCCUUCCAUGGAUCAUUUGUCAAGAGUUUAAAGAAAGCAGUUAAGCCGUCCACAACAGUGCAAGAGGAGACCAGGCUUCACCUGAUGCACAGCAGCUUAACUCGACCACAUUGAACCCAGGUCAGAUAAUCUACAGCAUUAGCCUGAAUGAAAGCUCACCAAAAUUAUUUUUCACAUCUGUAACAUGCAGCUGAUGGAUUUUAAACAAAUAUAACCACCUCAGCUAGGGAGAGGUGAAAAGCCACAUGAUAUAACUGUAUUUUCAUGUUCCAGGAUCAGAAGGAGAUGAUGACAUCUUGGGUGAAUUUGUGUAUAAGGGUUCCAUCACACCCCCUCUCAACUACUCCAUGCUGACAAGCCUUUACUUAGUGCAGAGAGGCUACAAAACUAUGAAAAAAAUUUAAAAAGGUAGUUUCAGAAAGCUUUAUUGAAUACUUCUUAGUUUAUUACAGAACCAGUAAAUUACAUUUUGCAUUAGCCUGCUUUGCACUUUCCAACCAGUUCUGGACGAUGUUACAGGAACUCUGUACUACCAUACCCAGGAACAAGUACAGUUUGGAAGGACUUCUAGUGGUGUUAGAGUGUGACUGUGACAGGCCUGAAGACAGGCUUACUUUGUCACAUGACACUACAGGUAGAGAAAGCAGAUCUCUUAAAAUGCUGUCAUGCUGGUUAACCAUAUGGCUUGUCCAAAGGCUCUUCCCUUCUGCUGUCUUCACCAAAAAAAAGCCAGGUGCCUCCCUAUGUUGUUGCACUCUGUUGUUCAUCCCAAACCCAGGGUUGUUGCAA